rnacentral:rRNA from 1 species
AUUGAACGCUGGCGGCAUGCCUUACACAUGCCAGUCGAACGGCAGCACGGACUUCGGUCUGGUGGCGAGGGGCGAACGGGUGAGUAAUGUAUCGGAACGUACCUUUCAGUGGGGGAUAACGUAGCGAAAGUUACGCUAAUACCGCAUAUUCUGUGAGCAGGAAAGCAGGGGAUCGAAAGACCUUGCGCUGAUUGAGCGGCCGAUAUCAGAUUAGCUAGUUGGUGGGGUAAAGGCCUACCAAGGCGACGAUCUGUAGCGGGUCUGAGAGGAUGAUCCGCCACACUGGAACUGAGACACGGUCCAGACUCCUACGGGAGGCAGCAGUGGGGAAUUUUGGACAAUGGGGGCAACCCUGAUCCAGCCAUGCCGCGUGAGUGAAGAAGGCCUUCGGGUUGUAAAGCUCUUUCGGCCGGGAAGAAAUCGCAUAGGCUAAUACCCUGUGUGGAUGACGGUACCGGAAGAAGAAGCACCGGCUAACUACGUG